UCGCCUAGGCCUCCCAAAGUGCUGGAAUUAUAGGCAUGAGCUAACGCCAGGCCGAUAAGUACUUUGUUAUCCCUAGUUCUAGGUGAGGAAGCUCUGGGGCGCAGUGAGGUCAGUACAUUGUCCAGUGUUACACAGUUCAUAAGUGGUGGAGCUGAGGUCUGAACUAAGGCUAUAGAGCUCCAGGAUCUGUGUGCCUUUACAUUGUGGAUAUCCCUCCCCCAGUGGCCAGGCCAGUUCCUCAAGAGCAGGGGCCAUAUCUAUCUAACUGCCUAUCUAUUUAUUUUUUAUUUUUUGAGUCAGGGUCUUGCUCUGUUGCCUAGGCUGGAGUGCAGUGGUGCCAUCACAGUUCACUGCAGCUCUGACCUCCCAGGCUCAAGUGAUCCUCCUGCUCUAGCCUCUCAAGUACUUGGAAGUACAGGCACGCCGCCAUACCCAGCUAAAUUUUUCAUUUUUUAUUUUGUAGAGACAGGGUCUUAUUUUGUUGCCCAGAUUGAUCUCAGAACUCCUGGGCUCAAUCAUUCCUCUUGACUGGGCCUCCCAAAGUGCUGGGAUUAUAGAGUGAGCCACCCACCCAACUAUAUCCAUUUACUUAAGAAUCCCAGUGCCUGGCCUGCUAGCUCAAUACCUGUAUGUUGAACUAUUAAUUCAAACUACAAAGAGGUCAAAAACAAUAGAGUUUUCUCUACCUCACAAAUGGGAGGGUUUGUAUUGAAUGUUGUAUUUAUCCUCUAGCCAAUCUUAUCCUGGAGCACAAAGCAAAAUGACCCAGCCUCCUCCGCUAUCUUCUGAGUGCUUAGGCCUGAGCAAGAGGGCUGCCCCCUUGCUUUUAUGUAGCCAGCCCGUGUAUGUGCAGGGCCAAGCGAAGAGGGAAGAGGUAGUGGGACAUGGAUGGCUUCGUUUAAUUGGAAGACGGUGGGUAGAUUGGAACUGGCAUUUGAAGAUUUGAGAGUUGUUGAUCAUGGUUCAGAAAAAUGCUGUUCUGUGACUGCGGGGCAGGAGGAGGAAACUGAUACUUCUGAGGGUGAGCCUGAUGAGGUAACAUACUCAUGUGUGGGGCUCAGGUUAGCCAGUGCUGAGGUCUCCUGUCUCUGGGCAUCCAGCUGGUGCUACAGCCGGGGCUCCUGCCUCCUGCAGCCCUGUCAGGCCCAAGGCCUUCCCUGUUAGCACUUGCUCCAGCCUGCUCACUGGAGUUGUGUUCUGGGUGAGUGCGUAGAAUACUCACCCUCCUAUUUGGGGUGUCAGGGAGCUGUCUGUAACUAGCAAUUUCUUUUGUACCUAGAGAGAGCCUGCCACUAAAAAGGCCUGGUCAAAUCUUCAGGUGUACAUGGAUUGGGAACAAGCUGGCCGGCCUCAUCCGGAUGCUCCUGCAUUCUGACGUCAUGCCCAUGACAGCAGAGAAUUUUCGUUACCUGUGCACUCAUGUAAAGGACUUGGUUUCAAGGGAAGCAGCUUCCACCGCAUCAUCCCCCAGUUCAUGUGCCAGGGCAGUGAUUUCACAAACCACAGUGGCACCAGGGGCAAGUCCAUUAACAAGAAGAAGUUUGAUGAUGAAAACUUUAUCUUCAAACACACAGGACCAGGUUGGAGUGCAGUGGCAUGAUCUUGGCCACCGAAGC